rnacentral:lncRNA from 1 species
UUUGACUUUUCUGAGGGAUGUAUCUGUCCCACUGGUUAGGUUUUGAUUUAGUAGUGAAAUAUUGCUUGGAAGAUAUAUCAAUUGUUGUUAAUUACUGGUUAGUUGCUAAGUCACCGUCCAACUCUUUUGUGACCUCAUGAACUGUAGCCUGCCAGGCUCCUCUGUCCAUGGGAUUUCCCAGGCAAGAAUACUGGAGUGGAUUGCCAUUUCCUUCUCCAGGAGAUCUUCCCAACCCAGGGAUUGGGCUUGCAUCUCCUGCAUUGGCAGGCAGAUUCUUUACUACUGAGCCACCUAGGAUGCCUGAUAUAUUAGUAACUGAGUAUAAAAGGAAGUCCUCUCACACAUCAGUUUUCCUAAACUCUGUGAUAUGCAAUACAUCCACACGUGGAACUGAAAUGGCCUCUCUCUGCUUGCUGUGCGCAUGGGACCUCUACACCUGUUCAGUCGUGAAACCACUAAUGAGGCCUCUCCUGUCCUAUUCAGGAUUUCGACGGAAUAUGAAAUCUCAUUACCCAGAGUCAAUGAAUGACAUCUGUUCCCCAUCCCCCGCCUGGAGCCGGCAUCCCAGCCGCUCGGUGCUGUGAAAAGGAUGUGCCGCUCAGAGUGAGAAUCAGAGCUCAGAAAAGAAGGUGGCCCUUCCUGGCCCAGGCAGAGGGCAGAUGGAGCUUUCCAGUGUCCUGGCCCCCUUUUAUACCUUUGUCCUAAAAUAAUUAGCAAAAAGGAAACUUCAUUAUUUCAGACUAUGAAAAAGUUCUGACUAUUUGCUUCUGAAGCAAGUCAAAACCUGGAAGUGAGCAGUUUUCUUGAUAAGGAAGAAUGUUUUCAGAUUAAUUUGAAAACAUCCAGAUAAAUGGAUAAAUGCUUAAAUUGAUUAAAUGUUAAAAUGAUUUAAAAUGUGUAUGAUGUAAAGG